rnacentral:rRNA from 1 species
ACAGGGGUGGCAAGCGUUACUCGGAAUUAUUGGGUGUAAAGGGCAGGUAGGUGGUCUUGUAAGUGAGGGGUGAAAUCCCACGGUUCAAUCGUGGAACUGCCUUUCAAACUGCAAGACUUGAGAGUGUUAGGGGAGAAUGGAAUUCCCGGUGUAAGGGUGAAAUCUGUAGAUAUCGGGAAGAACACCAACAGCGAAGGCAAUUCUCUGGGACACUUCUGACGCUGAACUGCGAAAGCUAGGGGAGCAAACAG